rnacentral:lncRNA from 1 species
GUGAACUCAGGAGUAGGUUUUUGAUAAAAGAGUAAGUUCAGCCCCCUUCCUCUCUGUUUCUCCUUUGAGUGUUCUCUUGCCAUUCCACCUUCUGCCAUGAAAUAAUACAACAAGAAGGCCCUCAUCAGAUGCCAAACAGAUGAUGGUGCCAUGCUCUUGAACAUCCCAGCCUCCAGAAUUCCUCAGCUGAAAACACAGAAUGGCCUCUCCUGGAAUACGGAGGAGACACAUGGUCCCGGCCCUGCUGCGCCUCGCCUGCUCCUCCCAAGCCCUGGAACAACUCUCCCCUGCUGCGCUCUCACUGGCAGGGCAUGGCUGUUUUUUCACCAUUUCUGAAGACGGAUCCUUCACUCAACAGCUGUGUUUGUUUACAGACCUAGAAAUGAACGCAGGACACAUACGCUUGAUCCAACGGAGUUUUUCUUUUGGCAUUUUCCCCUCUAGACUACACAAUAUAUUGGUCCUUGUAGUCCAAUUAUAACUUGCCAUUGAUGUGAGCCAAGAGGGUGGGCAGAGAGAAGGUCACCAUGGAGGGCAAACUUGUAUUAUUUGCUCCACAUUCUAUAGAUUUUUUUUUCUUUCCUUUUAGCAGGGCCAAGGACUGCACCUGCAUUCACCAUCUGAGCCUGCCAUUUCCUUAAAAUGGAGGGGCAGUGUCCCCACUUCUCAGAGGGGUCAGCCCAGUAAAUAGUCCAGUGGAGUCCAUCAGAGGUUCUGCCCAGCCAUGAUAGGACAAACCCGAAUGUCAACACCCACAAACCACACUUUCAUAUCUGGCAAAUUGUCCCCUGUAGCAAAUAGCUUUUAGCAUGAAACCCGCCAGCCUCUUUCUUUUUAAUGGGUGUUUUAAAAGAAUAAGGAUAAAAGCCUAGGACAUAAAAGGCGAUGGGAUGUUUUCUUGAAGUUUUUCUGUGUAGAAAAAUACUUUUUCUUCUUGUUUUGUUUUUGGAGUCUUUUUAUUCCCAUAAGAGUGCCUCCCCACAACUUUGAAAAUAAGAGGAUCAUCAUUCUGUAAGAACACAGAAUUUUACCAUGACUUUUUACAUGAAUACUUACAGGCCUCUUGUUUCAAAGUAAAGGGGUAUGUUGUGCUUUCAUUUCUUUGAGUUCUCUUCCAUACUAUUCCUCCCCUGGGGUUGGCUGCAGACAGUGGAGGCUGAAAACACGGGAGAACUUUCUCCAAGUUCUAAACUCGCAUCUGAGAUGCA